rnacentral:rRNA from 1 species
UACAGAGGUCCCGAGCGUUGUUCGGAUUCAUUGGGCGUAAAGGGUGCGUAGGCGGCGGGGUAAGUUUGAUGUGAAAUCCCGGGGCUCAACCCUGGAAUUGCAUUGAAUACUACCUUGCUAGAGUACCGGAGAGGAAACUGGAAUUUACGGUGUAGCAGUGAAAUGCGUAGAGAUCGUAAGGAAGACCAGUGGCGAAGGCGGGUCUCUGGGCCGAUACUGACGCUGAGGAGCGAAAGCGUGGGGAGCGAACAGG